CUUUGGUUACAUCUUCUGACAUCAGACUCGGACUUCUCUUGAACUGAAUUUUAAUGUGCGUAUUGUUGUGCGUUUACUUUUCUACAUUGGCUAGAGGUAUAGGUGGAGGGUUGAGAUCUCACAAACAUGUUUAACCCCGCCGCAUUUUUGCGCCUGUCCCAAGUCAGGAGCCUCUGGCCUUUGUUAGUCUUGUAUUAUUUUAAUUUUAGUUUCUUG
rnacentral:lncRNA from 1 species